AGCGGCGGACGGGUGAGUAACGCGUGGGAAUAUGCCCUUCUCUAAGGAAUAGCCUCUGGAAACGGAGAGUAAUACCUUAUACGCCCUUCGGGGGAAAGAUUUAUCGGAGAAGGAUUAGCCCGCGUUAGAUUAGGUAGUUGGUGGGGUAAUGGCCUACCAAGCCUACGAUCUAUAGCUGGUUUGAGAGGAUGAUCAGCCACACUGGGACUGAGACACGGCCCAGACUCCUACGGGAGGCAGCAGUAGGGAAUCUUAGACAAUGGGGGCAACCCUGAUCUAGCCAUGCCGCGUGUGUGAUGAAGGCCCUAGGGUCGUAAAGCACUUUCGCCAGAGAUGAUAAUGACAGUAUCUGGUAAAGAAACCCCGGCUAACUCCGUGCCAGCAGCCGCGGUAAUACGGAGGGGGUUAGCGUUGUUCGGAAUUACUGGGCGUAAAGCGCACGUAGGCGGAUUAGUAAGUUAGAGGUGAAAUCCCAGGGCUCAACCCUGGAACUGCCUUUAAUACUGCUAGUCUUGAGUUCGAGAGAGGUAAGUGGAAUUCCGAGUGUAGAGGUGAAAUUCGUAGAUAUUCGGAGGAACACCAGUGGCGAAGGCGGCUUACUGGCUCGAUACUGACGCUGAGGUGCGAAAGUGUGGGGAGCAAACAGGAUUAGAUACCCUGGUAGUCCACACCGUAAACGAUGAAUGCCAGACGUCAGCAAGUAUACUUGUUGGUGUCA
rnacentral:rRNA from 1 species